rnacentral:rRNA from 1 species
UACGUAGGGUGCGAGCGUUAAUCGGAAUUACUGGGCGUAAAGCGUGCGCAGGCGGUCUUGCAAGACAGGUGUGAAAAUCCCCCGGGGCUUAACCUGGGAACGUGCACUUGUGACUGCAAGGCUGGAGUACGGCAGAGGGGGAUGGGAAUUCCGCGUGUAGCAGUGAAAUGCGUAGAUAUGCGGAGGAACACCGGAUGGCGAAGGCAAU